rnacentral:tRNA from 1 species
GACAACAGCUCAGCGGUUGAACACUCGCUUCACAAGCGAAAGGUCGGUUGUUCGAUCCCACCAGGGCGUCA